GUGAAGAACGUAGCGAAAUGCGAUAAGUAAUGUGAAUUGCAGAAUUCAGUGAAUCAUCGAAUCUUUGAACGCACCUUGCGCCCUUUGGCUAUUCCGAAGGGCAUGCCUGUUUGAGUAUCAUGAACACCUCAACUCUCAUGGUUUGCCAUGAUGAGCUUGGACUUUGGGGGUCUUGCCGGCCUAUGGGUCGGCUCCUCUCAAAUUAAUCAGCUUGCCAGUGUUUGGUGGCAUCACAGGUGUGAUAACUAUCUACGCUUGUGGUUUUCCAUCAGGUAACCUUCAGUGAUGGAGGUUCGCUGGGGCUCAUAAAUGUCUCUCCUCAGUGAGGACAGCUUUUUUGAACGUUUGAUCUCAAAUCAGGUAGGACUACCCGCUGAACUUAAGCAUAUCAAUAAGCGGAGGA
rnacentral:misc_RNA from 1 species